rnacentral:rRNA from 1 species
UACGGGGGGGGCAAGCGUUGUUCGGAAUUACUGGGCGUAAAGGGCUCGUAGGCGGCCAACUAAGUCGGACGUGAAAUCCCCAGGCUCAACCUGGGAACUGCGUCCGAUACUGGAUGGCUUGAAUUCGGGAGAGGGAUGCAGAAUUCCAGGUGUAGCGGUGAAAUGCGUAGAUAUCUGGAGGAAUACCGGUGGCGAAGGCGGCAUUCUGGACCGACAUUGACGCUGAGGAGCGAAAGCUAGGGGAGCAAACGGG